GUCUUUUUGUUAUAAAUAUAAAGUCUCGCCUGCCCCCUGAAGUUUAAAUGGCCGCGGUAUAUUGACCGUGCUAAGGUAGCAUAAUCAUUAGUUUUUUUAUUGAAAGCUGGAAUGAAGGGUUGGAUGAAAAAAAAACUGUCUUUAUUUAAUUUUAAAAGAAUUUUAUUUUUAAGUUAAAAAGCUUAAAUAUUUUUAAAAGACGAGAAGACCCUAUAGAGUUUUAUAAAUUUAAAAAUAUAUUUUUUUAGAAUUUAAUUUAUUUAUAUUUUAAAUUUAUUUAAUUGGGGUGAUUAAAAAAUAAAUUUAACUUUUUUUGUAUUAUUAUAUUGAUUAAUAGUUAUUUGAUCCAAUAUUUUUGAUUAUAAGAUUAAAUUACCUUAGGGAUAACAGCGUAAUUUUAUUGGAGAGUUCAAAUUGAUAAUAAAGAUUGCGACCUCGAUGUUGGAUUAAAAUUUAUAAUUGGUGCAGAAGCUAUAUUAUUAAGUCUGUUCGACU
rnacentral:rRNA from 2 species